rnacentral:rRNA from 1 species
UACGUAGGGUGCGAGCGUUGUCCGGAAUUAUUGGGCGUAAAGGGCUCGUAGGCGGUCUGUCGCGUCAGGAGUGAAAACUCGGGGCUUAACCCCGAGCCUGCUUCUGAUACGGGCAGACUAGAGGUAUUCAGGGGAGAACGGAAUUCCUGGUGUAGCGGUGAAAUGCGCAGAUAUCAGGAGGAACACCGGUGGCGAAGGCGGUUCUCUGGGAAUAUCCUGACGCUGAGGAGCGAAAGUGUGGGGAGCGAACAGG